rnacentral:rRNA from 1 species
CCGAAUUUCGUCGACAACCUGGUUGAUCCUGCCAGUAGUCAUAUGCUUAUCUCAAAGAUUAAGCCAUGCAUGUCUAAGUUCAGGAUCUGGUUGGUUUCCGGCGGAUUCCUUCGGGAUGAAGUCUCGAUUCCUUCCAAUUUAAUCUGAAACUGCGCACGGCUCAGUAUAACAGUAAUAACCUAUGAGUUCGCGCAUUUUACAAGGAUAACUCUAGUAACUCCAGAGCUAAUACUUGACUUUUGGAUUUUUAGUCUAACAAAUUUUUAAUUUGUUCGGGAAUGAUAAAAAUUCUUUAUCAAAGAGACCUCACCUUCGGGUGCCUGUAUGGUCGUUGAUCGAACUCCUGGGUUCCUGACCUAUCAGCUUGAUGCUAGUUUAAUUAACUAGGGUAGCGAUCACGGGUAACGGGGAAUUGGUGUUCGAUUCCGGAGAGGGAGCCUGAGAGACGGCUACCACGUCUACGGAUGGCAGCAGGCGCGCAAAUUACCCAAUCUUAAUACCAAAAGGAGGUAGUGACGAGAAAUAUCUUCCUUACUCUAUGUAAGGUCGAAAUGAUUGAAAUCUAAACCAUUUCAAAAAAACAAUUGGAGGGAAAGUCUGGUGCCAGCAUCCGCGGUAAUACCAGCUCCAAGAGUGUAUAUUAAUGCUGUUGCAGUUAAAACGUUCGUAGUUAAAAUAUUGGGCUAGCUGGCGCUCAGCAUUUAAUCGUUUAAUGGGGGCUUUUGCUUUUAUGCCAACUAGGCAUAAGGUCAGUCCUUCGAAUUUCCUUUUCGUUGGCACUGACUUCCUGUUAAAUGGUUAUUUGCAUUUCGUAUGAGCAUUUGCAAAUUCGCAAAUCUCAACGAUGGGCGUUAAAGGUUAAUUACCAAAUUAAAUAUUCAAUUAUUUGAUUUGAUAAUUAACUUUCGGCUAGCUCAUGAUUAGAGGAAAAUAAGGACCGAGAGUUAUUCAAGGUCAAUUCUAUUUUCUUCGUGGAGCUGUGAACAAAUCAUAGUGCUCAAAGCAAGCAAUUUAAUUUCGCUUAUGUGUGAAUUAGCAUGGUACUCCAACGUCAGUUUCCUUGGUUCCAAACCUUCUAUAUGAAAGGUUUUUAAUCUUUCUGUAGUUGGUUUUUCACCUUCGGGUGAAGCCAUAGGUACGCGGUAAAUGGGAGUGGGCAGGGCUUUUCGUAUUACUGGGCGAGAGGUGAAAUUCUUAGACCCUGGAAAGACGAUCUACUGCGAAAGCAAAAAGCCGGUACUCUCCCGUCAAUCAGGAACGAAAGUUGGGGGCGCGAAGACGAUUAGAUACCGUCGUAGUCCUAACCGUAAACGAUACCAACCAAGGGUUGAGAUAGAAAUUUAUCUACCUUUCUCAGAACUUUUUCGGGAAACCAUUGAGUUUCUGGGUUCUGGGGGGAGUAUGGUCGCAAGACUGAAACUUAAAGAAAUUGACGGAAGGGCACCACAAGGAGUGGAGUUUGCGGCUCAAUUUGACUCAACGCGGGAAAACUUACCAGGUCCAGACACAAGUAGGAUUGACAGGUUGAUAGCCCUUUCUUGAUUUUGUGGUUGGUGGUGCAUGGCCGUUCUUAGUUGGUGGAGUGAUUUGUCUGCUUAAUUGCGUUAACGAACGAGACCUUUACCUAUUAAACUUCGCACUAAUUCCAGAUAUAAUUUUCGAAUUAUAUUAAUGGAGUUAGUUGGCUUUUGCCAUCUCACCUUUUGGUGAAAUUGCUUCUUAGAGGGACUUUGUGCGUUUAUUUUUUUAAACUAGUACAAGGAAGCGGAAGGCGAUAACAGGUCUGUAAUGCCCUUAGAUGUUCUGGAGCUGCACGCGCACUACAAUGUGACUGACAACGAGCAUAUUCCGCAGGAAAAAUAUUUCCAUUCCAAACACUAUUUCAAUUAUUGUUUUCAAUAUUUGUUAUAGUGGGAUAUAUUUUUUCUCGGCCUGCACUGAAAAGUGUGGGGACUCUUGUUAAACGGUUACGAAUCUGGGAUUGAUGCUUGUAAUUUUUCAUCAUGAACCAGGAAUUCCUAGUAGGGGUGAGUCAUCAACUCACGCCGAAUACGUCCCUGCCCUUUGUACACACCGCCCGUCGCUCCUACCGGUUGAAUGGCCAGGUGAACUUAUUGGAUGUAAUAUUUAAUUACAGAAGAUAAGUAAAUCUUGCCAUUCGCAGGAAGGAGAAGUCGUAACAAGGUUAUCGUAGGUGAACCUGCAGAAGGAUCAAGCUUGGAUCCCCGGGA